UCCCUCCCUGCCGGGUAGGCGCCUCCCAGCAGGGCCCCGCCAUGGCCGUAGGGUGAGGGGAGAGGAAGAUCUCGAAGAUCUCUGGGGAUGGCCCCCGCUACGGGCGCCAGGUACCAAAGAUAAUCAUAAAGAGACGCUCAUCACUUUGCAUGCUGUAACAUGUAGACCUCGAAGAAAUAAUGGCUAGGAAUGGAACAGUCCAUAGACAAACAACUGGCCCCAGAAACUGAAAAUACAAAUAAUUUGUUCAGCUCUUCAAGAAGUUGUGACAGAAUCCAAAAGCAUGUACAGAAGCUGCAGAAAUGAAAACAUUUGGAACGUCAUUUCUGUGCUGACACCACUGAGAAAACAAAAACAUUGAUGGACGGUGCUAACCACUGAAAAUGCCAGCGGAUGGUAAG